AUGCAUUGAGAGAUAAAAAUCGAGAGACUGGAUGGAAAUCAAGAAAAUGUUGGAAUAGGUAUGUUGAGAAAGGAUAUUAACCAAUGAAGGGCGAGAGGUUCGUCCUGGUCCCUGCAAGGCAGAUAGGGGAGAUAGUGAUUCUCUUUUUGAAUAGGGUGUCAUGAACACAAUUAUGUGGCUCAUUUGUAUACUUCCGGAGGGGAAUACAUCUCUAUGUAUACGGGCGAUGAAAGGCUGGAAGGACC
rnacentral:sRNA from 1 species